rnacentral:rRNA from 1 species
AGCUCCAAUAGCGUAUAUUAAAGUUGCUGCAGUUAAAAAGCUCGUAGUUGCAUUUCCGAGGCAAGGGAUUAGUCCGACCUUUGGUGGGUAUUUAAUCCUCUUGCCUCGUCCUUGAGUGGUGCUUCUUGGUAUUAAGUUAUCGAGGAGAUAGCCGCUCAUCGUUUACUGUGAGAAAAUUAGAGUGUUCAAAGCAGGCUUAUGCCGUUGAAUAUAUUAGCAUGGAAUAAUAAGAUAGGACCGCGGUACUAUUUUGUUGGUUUGAGAACCAAGGUAAUGAUGAAUAGGGACAGUUGGGGGUAUUCGUAUUCAGUUGUCAGAGGUGAAAUUCUUAGAUUUACGGAAGACGAGCUACUGCGAAAGCAUUUACCAAGGAUGUUUUCA